CCUACGGGAGACAGCAGUGAGGAAUAUUGGUCAAUGGACGCAAGUCUGAACCAGCCAUGCCGCGUGCAGGAUGACGGCUCUAUGAGUUGUAAACUGCUUUUGUACAAGGGUAAACCCAGAUACGUGUACCGGGUUGAAAGUAUUUUACGAAUAAGGAUCGGCUAACUCCGUGCCAGCAGCCGCGGUAAUACGGAGGAUCCGAGCGUUAUCCGGAUUUAUUGGGUUUAAAGGGUGCGUAGGCGGUUUGAUAAGUUAGUGGUGAAAUGUUGGGGCUCAACCCUGAAACUGCCAUUGAUACUGGUGGACUAGAGAAUAGUUGAGGUAGGCGGAAUGUAUGGUGUAGCGGUGAAAUGCUUAGAGAUCAUACAGAACACCGAUUGCGAAGGCAGCUUACCAAACUAUAUCUGACGUUGAGGCACGAAAGCGUGGGUAGCAAACAGGAUUAGAUACCCCUGUAGUC
rnacentral:rRNA from 1 species